rnacentral:rRNA from 1 species
AUACGUAGGGGGCGAGCGUUGUCCGGAAUGAUUGGGCGUAAAGGGCGCGUAGGCGGCCAUGUAAGUCUGAAGUGAAAGUCCUGUUUUUAAGAUGGGAAUUGCUUUGGAUACUGUGUGGCUUGAGUGCAGGAGAGGUAAGUGGAAUUCCCAGUGUAGCGGUGAAAUGCGAAGAGAUUGGGAGGAACACCAGUGGCGAAGGCGACUUACUGGACUGUAACUGACGCUGAGGCGCGAAAGUGUGGGGAGCAAACAGGAUUAGAUACCCUGGUAGUCCACACUGUAAACGAUGAAUGCUAGGUGUAGGGGGUAUCGACCCCUUCUGUGCCGCAGUAAACACAAUAAGCAUUCCGCCUGGGGAGUACGGCCGCAAGGUUGAAACUCAAAUGAAUUGACGGGG